UGAUGACCAUAGCGAGGUGGUCCCACUCCUUCCCAUCCCGAACAGGACAGUGAAACACCUCAGCGCCGAUGAUAGUGCGCAUUCGCGUGUGAAAGUAGGACAUCGUCAGGCA
rnacentral:rRNA from 2 species